GACGAACGCUGGCGGCGUGCUUAACACAUGCAAGUCGAACGGAAAGGCUCCAGCUUGCUGGAGUACUCGAGUGGCGAACGGGUGAGUAACACGUGGGUAAUCUGCCCUGCACUCUGGGAUAAGCCUGGGAAACUGGGUCUAAUACUGGAUAUGACCUUUCUCCUUAUGGGGUUUGGUGGAAAGUUUUUCGGUGUAGGAUGAGCCCGCGGCCUAUCAGCUUGUUGGUGGGGUGAUGGCCUACCAAGGCGACGACGGGUAGCCGGCCUGAGAGGGUGAUCGGCCACAUUGGGACUGAGAUACGGCCCAGACUCCUACGGGAGGCAGCAGUGGGGAAUAUUGCACAAUGGGCGGAAGCCUGAUGCAGCGACGCCGCGUGAGGGAUGACGGCCUUCGGGUUGUAAACCUCUUUCAGCAGGGACGAAGCGUAAGUGACGGUACCUGCAGAAGAAGCACCGGAUAACUAUGUG
rnacentral:rRNA from 1 species